rnacentral:rRNA from 1 species
AUUGAACGCUGGCGGCAGGCCUAACACAUGCAAGUCGAACGAGUGGCGGACGGGUGAGUAAUGUCUGAGAAACUGCCCGAUGGAGGGGGAUAACUACUGGAAACGGUAGCUAAUACCGCAUACCCUCGGAUGUGCCAGAUGGGAUUGGCUAGUAGGGGGGGUAACGGCUACCCUAGGCGACGAGCCCUAGCUGGUCUGAGAGGAUGACCGGCCACACUGGAACGGAGACACGGUCCAGACUCCUACGGGAGGCAGCAGUGGGGAAUAUUGCACAAUGGGCGCAAGCCUGAUGCAGCAAUGCCGGGGGGAUGAAGAAGGCCUUCGGGUUGUAAACUACUUUCAGCGAGGAGGCGUUACUCGCAGAGGAAGCACCGGCUAACUCCGUGCCAGCAGCCGCGGUAAUUC